CACGUGGGCAACCUGCCCUGAAGCGGGGGAUAACAUCUGGAAACAGGUGCUAAUACCGCAUAACAACGGAAACCACAUGGCUUUCGUUUCAAAGAUGGCUUCGGCUAUCACUUCAGGAUGGGCCCGCGGUGCAUUAGCUAGUUGGUAAGGUAACGGCUUACCAAGGCGAUGAUGCAUAGCCGAGUUGAGAGACUGAUCGGCCACAAUGGAACUGAGACACGGUCCAUACUCCUACGGGAGGCAGCAGCA
rnacentral:rRNA from 1 species